rnacentral:rRNA from 1 species
UUUAUUUGAGAGUUUGAUCCUGGCUCAGGAUGAACGCUGGCGGCGUGCCUAACACAUGCAAGUUGAGCGAUUUACUUCGGUAAAGAGCGGCGGACGGGUGAGUAACGCGUGGGUAACCUACCCUGUACACACGGAUAACAUACCGAAAGGUAUGCUAAUACGGGAUAAUAUAUUUGAGAGGCAUCUCUUGAAUAUCAAAGGUGAGCCAGUACAGGAUGGACCCGCGUCUGAUUAGCUAGUUGGUAAGGUAACGGCUUACCAAGGCGACGAUCAGUAGCCGACCUGAGAGGGUGAUCGGCCACAUUGGAACUGAGACACGGUCCAAACUCCUACG